rnacentral:rRNA from 1 species
UUCGGGGGUACACGAGUGGCGAACGGGUGAGUAACACGUGGGUAAUCUGCCCUGCACUUCGGGAUAAGCCUGGGAAACCGGGUCUAAUACCGGAUAUGAGCUCCUGCCGCAUGGUGGGGGUUGGAAAGUUUUUCGGUGCAGGAUGAGUCCGCGGCCUAUCAGCUUGUUGGUGGGGUAAUGGCCUACCAAGGCGACGACGGGUAGCCGGCCUGAGAGGGUGAUCGGCCACACUGGGACUGAGACACGGCCCAGACUCCUACGGGAGGCAGCAGUGGGGAAUAUUGCACAAUGGGCGAAAGCCUGAUGCAGCGACGCCGCGUGGGGGAUGACGGUCUUCGGAUUGUAAACUCCUUUCAGUAGGGACGAAGCGAAAGUGACGGUACCUGCAGAAGAAGCACCGGCCAACUACGUGCCAGCAGCCGCGGUAAUACGUAGGGUGCAAGCGUUGUCCGGAAUUACUGGGCGUAAAGAGCUCGUAGGCGGUUUGUCACGUCGUCUGUGAAAUCCUCCAGCUCAACUGGGGGCGUGCAGGCGAUACGGGCAGACUUGAGUACUACAGGGGAGACUGGAAUUCCUGGUGUAGCGGUGAAAUGCGCAGAUAUCAGGAGGAACACCGGUGGCGAAGGCGGGUCUCUGGGUAGUAACUGACGCUGAGGAGCGAAAGCAUGGGGAGCAAACAGGAUUAGAUACCCUGGUAGUCCAUGCCGUA